UACGGAGGGUGCAAGCGUUGUCCGGAUUUAUUGGGUUUAAAGGGUGCGUAGGCGGCCUAGUAAGUCGGCGGUGAAAGCCCGGGGCUCAACCCCGGAACUGCCAUCGAUACUGUUAGGCUUGAGUACAGGCGAGGUUGGCGGAAUGGGCGGUGUAGCGGUGAAAUGCAUAGAUACCGUCCAGAACCCGAUUGCGAAGGCAGCUGACUAGGCUGUAACUGACGCUGAGGCACGAAAGCGUGGGGAGCGAACAGG
rnacentral:rRNA from 1 species